GUACCCGCGCGCCCGCUGCUCUUCACAUUGUGAGUGUGCGCAGUGAAGAGAGGCAGGAAACCGCGAGCUUUCGGUUUCUGUCCACGAGAAGAAACGUCGUCUUUUUACCGACUGGUCCGUCCAACAAAGACAAGAAACAGAGAAAUAAAGGUCAUGGACAAGCUGAAGUCAGUGCAGGACAAACUUUGUCUGUGCCUCUCCACUAACCCCGAUUUCAUAAUUGAUAAGUGUGGGGAUAUAUUAACCAGGAAUGAAUCCUUGAAGAUAGAAAAGCAAAACAGUGGCUUAGAGAAAAUGAGAGCACUUAUGAAAAUAAUAACUGGAAAAGGAGACGAUGUCUGUCAGACGUUCCUGGGCAUCCUGAAGCAGCAUCAAACACUGUUACGAGCAGCUGCCACAGCUUUUCACUCAAGGUCCACCUCCUCCAACAGUGUUUGCUGCUGGUAACAGUGUUGUUUCCACCAGAGAAAUAACAAAUAUGAAAGGAAAAUCCCUCAACAAGAGGAUUGAAAUAGAGAGUGGUCCAGGAAGUAGUCAGCCUGGUGAGUGUUAAUACUUCUCAGAUAU